AGUACAUGGGGUUUUUUUAUAUACAUAGAUUCUUUACCAACAAAAUUAUUACAUUAUCCACCUGAUUCUACAGGAUAUAAAAAAUGUAAAGAUCUCCCAACAUUUAUACAUACACUAAUUACAAAA